AUGAACGCUAGCUACAGGCUUAACACAUGCAAGUCGAGGGGCAGCAUGGUCUUAGCUUGCUAAGGCCGAUGGCGACCGGCGCACGGGUGAGUAACACGUAUCCAACCUGCCGUCUACUCUUGGACAGCCUUCUGAAAGGAAGAUUAAUACAAGAUGGCAUCAUGAGUCCGCAUGUUCACAUGAUUAAAGGUAUUCCGGUAGACGAUGGGGAUGCGUUCCAUUAGAUAGUAGGCGGGGUAACGGCCCACCUAGUCUUCGAUGGAUAGGGGUUCUGAGAGGAAGGUCCCCCACAUUGGAACUGAGACACGGUCCAAACUCCUACGGGAGGCAGCAGUGAGGAAUAUUGGUCAAUGGGCGAGAGCCUGAACCAGCCAAGUAGCGUGAAGGAUGACUGCCCUAUGGGUUGUAAACUUCUUUUAUAAAGGAAUAAAGUCGGGUAUGGAUACCCGUUUGCAUGUACUUUAUGAAUAAGGAUCGGCUAACUCCGUGCCAGCAGCCGCGGUAAUACGGAGGAUCCGAGCGUUAUCCGGAUUUAUUGGGUUUAAAGGGAGCGUAGAUGGAUGUUUAAGUCAGUUGUGAAAGUUUGCGGCUCAACCGUAAAAUUGCAGUUGAUACUGGAUAUCUUGAGUGCAGUUGAGGCAGGCGGAAUUCGUGGUGUAGCGGUGAAAUGCUUAGAUAUCACGAAGAACUCCGAUUGCGAAGGCAGCCUGCUAAGCUGCAACUGACAUUGAGGCUCGAAAGUGUGGGUAUCAAACAGGAUUAGAUACCCUGGUAGUCCACACGGUAAACGAUGAAUACUCGCUGUUUGCGAUAUACGGCAAGCGGCCAAGCGAAAGCGUUAAGUAUUCCACCUGGGGAGUACGCCGGCAACGGUGAAACUCAAAGGAAUUGACGGGGGCCCGCACAAGCGGAGGAACAUGUGGUUUAAUUCGAUGAUACGCGAGGAACCUUACCCGGGCUUAAAUUGCAGAUGAAUUACGGUGAAAGCCGUAAGCCGCAAGGCAUCUGUGAAGGUGCUGCAUGGUUGUCGUCAGCUCGUGCCGUGGGGUGUCGGCUUAAGUGCCAUAACGAGCGCAACCCUUGUUGUCAGUUACUAACAGGUUCCGCUGAGGACUCUGACAAGACUGCCAUCGUAAGAUGUGAGGAAGGUGGGGAUGACGUCAAAUCAGCACGGCCCUUACGUCCGGGGCUACACACGUGUUACAAUGGGGGGGUACAGAGGGCCGCUACCACGCGAGUGGAUGCCAAUCCCCAAAACCUCUCUCAGUUCGGACUGGAGUCUGCAACCCGACUCCACGAAGCUGGAUUCGCUAGUAAUCGCGCAUCAGCCACGGCGCGGUGAAUACGUUCCCGGGCCUUGUACACACCGCCCGUCAAGCCAUGGGAGCCGGGGGUACCUGAAGUGCGUAACCGCGAGGAGCGCCCUAGGGUAAAACUGGUGACUGGGGCU
rnacentral:rRNA from 1 species